rnacentral:misc_RNA from 1 species
UUCAUUCAUUCAUCAAAAGACUCCGACGUACAGAGACAGGGUUGGUUGGUCCACCGGGGGCGGCGGAGGCCGCUCUGCCCCCGAGGCAAAAGUGGUUUGGUCAACAAAGGGUUGGGGACGGGGGCCCGGGGGCCCGCCAUCUCUGGUAAUGAUCCCUCCGCAGGUUCACCUACGGAGA